UACGUAGGGGGCAAGCGUUGUCCGGAAUUAUUGGGCGUAAAGAGCUCGUAGGCGGUCUGUCGCGUCGGCUGUGAAAACCCGGGGCUCAACCCCGGGCCUGCAGUCGAUACGGGCAGACUAGAGUGCGGUAGGGGAGACUGGAAUUCCUGGUGUAGCGGUGAAAUGCGCAGAUAUCAAGUGGAACACCAGUGGCGAAGGCGAGUCUCUGGACAUUUCCUGACGCUGAGGCGCGAAAGCUAGGGGAGCAAACAGG
rnacentral:rRNA from 1 species